rnacentral:rRNA from 1 species
AGUUUUGNUCCUGGCUCAGAUUGAACGCUGGCGGCAUGCCUUACACAUGCAAGUCGAACGGCAGCGCGGGGCAACCUGGCGGCGAGUGGCGAACGGGUGAGUAAUAUAUCGGAACGUACCCUGGAGUGGGGGAUAACGUAGCGAAAGUUACGCUAAUACCGCAUACGAUCUAAGGAUGAAAGUGGGGGAUUCGCAAGAACCUCAUGCUCCUGGAGCGGCCGAUAUCUGAUUAGCUAGUUGGUGGGGUAAAGGCCUACCAAGGCAUCGAUCAGUAGCUGGUCUGAGAGGACGACCAGCCACACUGGGACUGAGACACGGCCCAGACUCCUACGGGAGGCAGCAGUGGGGAAUUUUGGACAAUGGGCGCAAGCCUGAUCCAGCAAUGCCGCGUGAGUGAAGAAGGCCUUCGGGUUGUAAAGCUCUUUUGUCAGGGAAGAAACGGGCCGGGUUAAUACCCUGGUCUAAUGACGGUACCUGAAGAAUAAGCACCGGCUAACUACGUGCCAGCAGCCGCGGUAAUACGUAGGGUGCAAGCGUUAAUCGGAAUUACUGGGCGUAAAGCGUGCGCAGGCGGUUGUGCAAGACCGAUGUGAAAUCCCU